UUUUAUGGAGAGUUUGAUCCUGGCUCAGGAUGAACGCUGGCGGCGUGCCUAAUACAUGCAAGUCGAGCGAACGGACGAGAAGCUUGCUUCUCUGAUGUUAGCGGCGGACGGGUGAGUAACACGUGGAUAACCUACCUAUAAGACUGGGAUAACUUCGGGAAACCGGAGCUAAUACCGGAUAAUAU
rnacentral:rRNA from 1 species